rnacentral:rRNA from 1 species
GACGAACGCUGGCGGCGUGCUUAACACAUGCAAGUCGAACGAUGAACCAGGGCUUGCCCUGGGGAUUAGUGGCGAACGGUGAGUAACACGUGGGCAACCUGCCCCAGACACCGGGAUAACCUCUCGAAAGAGUGGCUAAUACCGGAUAUGACCACUUCGGGCAUCCGACGGUGGUGGAAAGGAUUCUGGUCUGGGAUGGGCCCGCGGCCUAUCAGCUAGUUGGCGGGGUAAUGGCCUACCAAGGCGACGACGGGUAGCCGGCCUGAGAGGGCGACCGGCCACACUGGACUGAGACACGGCCCAGACUCCUACGGGAGGCAGCAGUGGGGAAUAUUGCGCAAUGGGCGAAAGCCUGACGCAGCGACGCCGCGUGAGGGACGAAGGGUCUGCGGAUUGUAAACCUCUUUCAGCAGGGACGAAGCGAAAGUGACUGUACCUGCAGAAGAAGCACCGGCUAACUACGUGCCAGCAGCCGCGGUAAU